CUGUAGCAUUCGUCCAUGUAGUCACGUCUCCUUGAAUGAGUCAGCUAUUUCUUCCUGAACAUGGCAGCAGUUUGUACGUCCAGGUGGCACAGUGUCCCUGCUUGCGUCUUACAUCUCCUGAUCCGGGUUGAAAGGUUGAGGUUUGGAAGCACAUGCAUAUUUCAUUGGAUUCUCCUAAGAAUCAAAUGGGAGAGUGUAAAGGGCCAGCACAUAAUGAGGACUCCACCAAGGUCCAUGCACUCCUUCCCUCAGCUGUGCCCUCGGCAAUUCCAUCCGAGGCCUUCCUGCUUCAUUGCUAAAUGUGGGAAGCAGAAAGUCCUUUUUAAAGUUUGCUUUCUUGUUAAGGAAUAAGUGUGCUAAUAACUUUGUUAAGCCCUAUCCUCUGUAGCUGUUAGAUAUGCUGUGCUUACAGGCACGUAGUACAUUCUGUGUCCUUGUACUUUAACCAAGAUGUCUGUGCUGGACAUGCUCACAGGCAUGGCCCAGCUCUCCAUUGCUUUUACCUGUUUAGAAAAGUUUUAAGUUGUUAGCCAAUCGGGUUUUAGUUUAGAUUGUGAGGUCUGGCUCUAGCCAAUGGAGAUCAGAUACAGCAGUAAGGAUGACCCCAAAUGCGUAAGGGAUAAAGUUGUGUGUUUUCCUUUGUUCUUUGUACUCUCUUGGCAAGAUGGCUACCGAGGGUCCCCUUCCUGCAUUCCAGGAAGUAAAAAUUGAGUUGCUGAAAGAUCCAUUGUCUCAGUGCUAAUUCUUCUUUGCAGCACUGAGCAUCUAUUUCAAACAUCUAUUUCCAAGAUUGCUGUGAAUUUUCCAUGCCACCUUUCAUAGGGCAUCCCAAGCCCUCCAUCCAUCAGUGGAGAAAUCACGACAUGCUGUCUUUAAAAUAAGGAUGGCUCUAGGUAUGCUGCAGGGCCGUUGUAUGGUCCAGAGAACAGACCAGCUUUUGAUCACCUUGGCUUCCAAGGUCAGUGCACACCUAUGGGAGGGCUGGGGAAACUGCAGCCCUGCUCCUGGAAUGACGGACCAGACCAUGCUGAUGCUGGGUCUCAGAAAUGUGGCCCAUGCCGGUGUCAGCUGCCUGCAGGGAGGACUGAAUCCUGCCUUCUGCAGCUCACCAGGGGAUGUGCUGUGCACUUUUGGCUGCUAAACAUAUUUUGCUUCACGUCCUGAUCCUUCUCAUCAUCUCUUUCCUCCCGUACAUUUUGAGCAUACCUUUGUGCUUUUCUUCCUUGACAUGGCUUCCCUGCUUGGUGUCCUCCCUUGCCCUGUGUCAGUGUGGAACUUGUGUGGGCCAGCUGAGCUGUGUGCAUUCUCCAUACCCACACUGCUGAGAAUUUCUGGAGAAUCCCCCCACCCCCGUGUGGAUUAGUAUCACUAUAUGUUCCUGGCUUCCCUGGGCCCUCAGCGAUGCCUGCAGUGUUUCUAAGAUUCCUGCAGGGAACAACCUUCCCCUUUGCCCCAGCGACCUUCAAACCCGCUUGAUCUCUGCAAUUUGUGUGCCUUUAAAUGUGAGAGAGAAAGCUAGGAACCAACAAAGGCAACCCCAUCAAGGGCACUGAAGAGACAGCAGGGAAGAAAUCCGGACAAGAAAAGACCAUUCCCUGUCCUCCUGCAGCGUUUCCUCUAGUGGAAGGAGACAGGGAAUAAAUAAAGAGGGAAAAUGUGGCA
rnacentral:lncRNA from 13 species